rnacentral:rRNA from 1 species
GGAAGUAAAAGGUCGUAACAAGGUUUCCGUAGGUGAACCUGCGGAAGGAUAUUAUCGUGGGGCUUCGGCCCUCUCGAGAUAGAACCCUUGCCUUUU